GGAGUCAUAGCCUCCUCAUUCAGUGCCAGGGGCCCUUUUAGAAAAAGAAGACAUUAACCAGGCAACAAAAAUAAGAGCUUUGAUUGAAAAAGAAAAGAAAGAGCUCUUUCAACAUCAGGUGAAGGACAGGCUUGCUUCAGCUAUUUGCUAACUUCAGCCCUUUAUAAUGGAAAGAAAUGGAAGGAGAUUUGUUCCUUUUCCAUAGGAACCUGAAAAAAAUGGAAGCAGCAAUUCUGGAACAUCAAAAUACUGCCUUGGAGCCUGAGGCACCCUCUUUCUUAGUCACAUUCAUUCAAACAUUAAUUCUUUCAGCAGACCUCUCUUGAGUGCCUACUCAGUGACAGGUACUGUGCCAGGGACAUGUAGACAUCAAACAGCCACAGUUCAUCUUGAAGGAACUGAAAUUUGUUGGAAAUGCUGAGUCAUCAUCCAAAUAAAUGCCCUAUAACUCAGGGUAAAAUGUGCCAAACACUGAGGAAAAGUAGAAGGGAAGAAUCAUGACUUUCAGGGGAGAGAGCCAGCUGGUGGGGGAGAACCUGAGCCACUUUCUGAAAGGAAGAGUCAUCUGAGCCACUUCUUGAAGGAGGAAUACAAUUUCUACAAACAGAGAUGACCUAAAAGAGCAUCAUGAAAAGAAAUAGACCUUGAACAAAGACUUAAGAUGAAAAAAAAUUAAGGAAUGAGUAGAGUGAAGAGCAGUUAGCUUUGGCUACAGGAUAUUCCAGAAAAGGGUGAUACAAAGCUGGAAAGGUGAAAUAGAGCUAAAAGAUAGAGCUUCUAGAAAAUCAAUCCAAGGGAAUUUGGUGGUAGUCACCAAAUCUUUUUAAUUGUGGGAUUGAUACAACCAAAGCUCAACCACAAGGAAGAAAUGCUCAGUGGCUUCAUAGUGCGGAGAAUGUGAAUGAGGAGAAUAGUAUAUGUCUAUUUCAAGCACUAAGAGCUGGACCUUAGAAGAAGCAACAGGAAUAGAGGGAGAUGGCAUAGAGAGGCAGAAGGUAGACUCUCCUGGAGUUGGUGACUGUGGUGGAUGAUUACAGUAAUAGCCCAACUCUUCACCCCUCCCUGUAUCCACACUCUUUGCCAUGUGAAAUUAUAGUCACUCUCACUAGAAAGAUGGGGUCUAUUUACUCACCUCUUGAAUCUGGACUCAUCCAAUGGGAAAGAGGCAGAAGGGAAAGUGUGCCAGUUUGAGCCCAGGCUUCAAGAAGCCUUGCAGGUUUCUGCUCUCCUCCAUACUUUUGCCUGUGUCUAGCGUAGCUAGUCCACUGGAGCCAAGCCACCUCAGCGAGCACAGCCCCAGGCAAGAAAGUGAGCAGAGCCAAGAUCUGGAGAUUCACCUGGCCAGCCUCCAUCUGACCCCAGAUUUAGGAGCAAUGAACUUUGUACUGGGUGCCACUAAAGUUUUUUGUUUGUUGCGUGGCAUUAUUGUGGCUAGGAUAACUGACACAGCGACUGUUAAGAGAAAAGAGAGGAGGGCAUGGCUUGAGGAGGUUGACAAAGAGGGCAACACAGGAAGUGUGCUGGUAUCCUCGUGAUAUUAACAACUUGAUGGGUUUCAAGGGGAGAAGUAGUGAAUAACUGAAAUGAUGAAAAGGUGAUCAACAAUAUCCCAACAGAGUUAGCCUUCUUCUCACCUGUCCCUCUGCUUCUUGCCUCUCUUUUUGUUGCAGUGUUGAUUAGAUUAGUGUUGAAAAGAGCUGGCCUCACAUCAGGCAUGGAUAAGUUCAGAGGGAGUUUUGGUCUAAGUUUAAAAAAAGAGCAAAGAGAAAGAAAUGGAUAAAAAUUUGAUUCAUUGAUUACAUAGUAAGGGAUACAAU
rnacentral:lncRNA from 1 species